AUCCCAGAUAAUAGUUCUUGUGAUUAUCUGAUUCAUGAGGGGCUAAGAAUAAGGAUGGGGAGUUCGCUGAUAGCACCUUUAUUUUUGGAGAAGGUGUCUUGAUAGUACCUCACCACACACUA
rfam:Gossypium raimondii chromosome 7, whole genome shotgun sequence.